GAUGGCCUACCAAAAUGUGGGGACCUCCUGCCGGGACUGGGGCUGGGAUUUAUUUUUUUAUUUUUAAAAUAAAUAACUUAUACAUAUAGGACAAAACACACAUCACAACAAGAGAGACAGCACGACACUACAUAAAGAGAGACCUAGACAACAACAUAGCAAGGCAGAAACACAUGACAACACAGCAUGGUAGCAACACAUCAUGACAACAACAUGGUAGCAAAACAACAUGGUAGCAGCACAAAACAUGGUACAAACAUUAUUGGGCACAGACAACAGCACAAAGGGCAAUAAGGUAGAGACAACAAUACAUCUCGCAAAGCAGCCACAACUGUCGUUCAUAAGCCGUUCAGACUGAUGGGUUGCAGUGUUGUAGAAAAAAAAGAGUUCUUGUAGUCGAAAAAACUGUUAAGCAUUCACCCAGGGUUUAUUCAGUAAUGACCUGCGCAGGGGAAACCUUUUCUGGACACCUCUAUAUCGGCAAGGAACAUCUGGUUUGGAUCAGUAUUCUCUUUUCUGCAGAGUUUUCUUGGUAAGCGUAUCUAUUAUAUAUUGUCACGUUUCAUACUCCCCUUCCUCAAAUCCUGAUUUGACUGGUUCUAGUUCAACUUGGAUAAUAGCUAGCACACAGUACAGUUGUCUAACACAAUUGUCAUUACGCUUAUUUAUUUUCCUCAAUCAUCUUAGUCCCUUCUCCUCGCGUCCCUGGAUAGUCCACCCUCGCCGCCGACCAUGGCCUAGUAGUCCUCACCCAGAACCCCACUGGACUGAGGAGCAGAUCGGGACUGAGGGGCAGCUCGGGACUGAGGGGCAGCUCGAGACUGAGGGGCAGCUCAGGAGUGAGAGGAAGCUCAGGCAGGUUGAUGAAUCUACCAGAUCCUGGUCGACUGGCAGAUCUGGAAGAGUCUGGUCGACUGGCAGAUCUGGAAGAGUCUGGUCGACUGGCAGAUCUGGAAGAGUCUGGUCGACUGGCAGAUCUGGAAGAGUCUGGUCGACUGGCAGAUCUGGAAGAGUCUGGUCGACUGGCAGAUCUGGAAGAGUCUGGUCGACUGGCAGAUNNNNNNNNNNGUGUUGGAUAAUUACCCAUAGAACA
rnacentral:lncRNA from 13 species